rnacentral:rRNA from 1 species
GUCUAAAGCUAUACCAGGCAGAACACGCUGAUCACAUCUGAUCUUGGAAGCUAAGCAGGGUGAGUCCUGGUUCUUACAUGGAUGGGAGGAACCGACAUGCCUUGGAUC